CAACAUGACUGUUUAUCUGGUGGACCCUGCACAAAGUUCAACAGAGAGUGACGAUUCCAACCUUGCAGCCAAAAGAAUCAGGGAGUACCUGAAAAUGAGAAGGGCAUGCCAUGGGAAGACAGAUUGGGUGGACAUAAAAUGGCAAGGAGGAGUCCUGACCCAUCCAACUCAGCAGGAUGGCAAUAGAUGUGAGGUUAUUGUCAUCAUGAUGGAAAGGGCCACGAUGGAAGCCUUUCCAGCUCCUCCAGUGAUGUCAUUUGGGACACCCAAAAAGGA